CUUUUCACGCUGAUCAAGUAAAUUUAUGGUGUCUCUUUUCUGAUCUUCAACAUUAAAAACUAAAAAGGAAAAACACAUAAUAUUCUAUAGAGUAUUAAAUGAGAUACUAGCCCUAGGCAGGUCCCAUUUUCUUAUCAACUUCUAGAAACUGUCAUAAAGAGGACUGCAUCUCCCACAGCAACACUGUAAUUGGGAGUUGUAUUCCUCAUCAAGGACAAGAUGGCAACGGUGAUAUGGGAGGGGGACAGGGAAGUGCUGGGUAGAGAAGGGCAGGGUCACUGGCAAGGGCUCCACCCUCAGGCUUGUGCCCAUGGACCUAAUGAGAACAAGGACUCCUGUCUUCUUGCCCAAAUGUUGCAUUUUCCAAGACCACUCUGGCCUGCCAUGCCACCCAUUCUGUGCCUAUAAAAACCCUGAGACCCCAGCGGGCACACACACAAGCGGCUGGACGUCAAGAGGAACACACUGGCAGAAGAACACAUCGAAAGACGCUGGCAGGCCAUUGAUGGUGGAACGAUUCGGACGCCAAGGGAAAUUCGGCCAAGGACAGUAGGAGAUCCCGGCUGCUGAGCAGCCAGACUCCAGAGGAAGACUACCUUCCCAUGCUAUCCCCCUUCUGGCUCCCCAGCCAUCUGCUGAGAGCUACUUCCACCACUCAAU
rnacentral:lncRNA from 1 species